rnacentral:misc_RNA from 1 species
AUAUAUAUAUAUAUACACACAUUCAUAUGCUCAGACUUCAAUGUACAUUCAGCGCACAAGUUUAACUAAAACAUGACGAAAACUUUAGAAGCUAUGCAUAGAGAGAAUGUUCUUAACAAAUGAAGUGAUCCUAAAAUUUACAUUAUGAAUACAGUGUCAUCUAAUAUUUCCCCUACAUGGAUACCAAUAUGAAUACCACUAAGAACUAUAUGUUACUUCCCCAUUUGCUCAAAAGACUGCUAACCAAUUUCACAAAUCAAACAAGAACUUACAUAUGUAGCAUAACUCUUUGUACUUAAUAGCUUGAUGAAGCCACGGCUUCAUAUUCUACCCUAGUUGUCCACAUCAAAGGAGGCAGUGUAUGACAUGAGAAGCCCACAAGAUGGACCUAUUAUGGAGAUCUAGAGAGGAAAUUCAUGUCUCCUAAUCAAUACUUUAGUCAGUGUUAUUAAGGC